UACGUAGGGCGCAAGCGUUGUCCGGAAUUAUUGGGCGUAAAGAGCUCGUAGGUGGCUUGUUGCGUCUGCCGUGAAAGCCCGUGGCUUAACUACGGGUCUGCGGUGGAUACGGGCAGGCUAGAGGCUGGUAGGGGCAAGCGGAAUUCCUGGUGUAGCGGUGAAAUGCGCAGAUAUCAGGAGGAACACCGGUGGCGAAGGCGGCUUGCUGGGGCCGUAGUUCU
rnacentral:rRNA from 1 species